GGAGAAGUACCCAAGAGGCCGAAGGGGAGGCUUUGCUAAAGCUUUAGGUGGGUUAACGCCCGCGCGAGGGUUCGACUCCCUCCUUCUCCGCCA
rnacentral:tRNA from 1 species